rnacentral:rRNA from 1 species
UACGAAGGGGGCUAGCGUUGCUCGGAAUCACUGGGCGUAAAGGGUGCGUAGGCGGGUUUUUAAGUCAGGGUGAAAUCCUGGAGCUCAACUCCAGAACUGCCUUUGAUACUGAAGAUCUUGAGUCCGGAGAGGUGAGUGGAACUGCGAGUGUAGAGGUGAAAUUCGUAGAUAUUCGCAAGAACACCAGUGGCGAAGGCGGCUCACUGGCCCGGUACUGACGCUGAGGUGCGAAAGCGUGGGAGCAACAGG